rnacentral:rRNA from 1 species
GAUGGACGCUGGCGGCGUGCCUAAUACAUGCAAGUCGAACGCAUUGAGAGAAGUGCUUGCACUUUUCAAUUUGAGUGGCGAACGGGUGAGUAACACGUGGGCAACCUACCUGAUAGCGGGGGAUAACGAGUGGAAACAUUCGCUAAUACCGCAUAACAAUAGAGAAGGCAUCUUCUUUAUUUAAAAGGCGCUUUCAAGCGUCACUAUCAGAUGGGCCCGCGGUACAUUAGUUAGUUGGUGGGGUGAAGGCCUACCAAGACGAUGAUGCAUAGCCGAGUUGAGAGACUGAUCGGCCACAUUGGGACUGAGACACGGCCCAAACUCCUACGGGAGGCUGCAGUAGGGAAUCUUCCACAAUGGACGAAAGUCUGAUGGAGCAACGCCGCGUGUGUGAUGAAGGCUUUCGGGUCGUAAAGCACUGUUGUAUGGGAAGAAAUGCUAGGCUAGGAAAUGAGCUUAGUUUGACGGUACCAUACCAGAAAGGGACGGCUAAAUACGUGCCAGCAGCCGCAGUAA